rnacentral:misc_RNA from 1 species
AAGAGUGUAAUAACUCCCAAACCCAUGUGAACAUACCUUACGUUGCCUCGGCAGGUCGCGCCUACCCCGUAGAGCCCUACCCUGUAGGGCCCUACCCGGUGGACGCGGGUAAGCCUGCCGGCGGCCCACGAAACUCUGUUUAGCAUUGUACUUCUGAACGAUAUAACUAAAUAAGUUA